GUCCUCUGUGGUCCAAUGGUUGAGCGUUGGGCUCCCGAUCCAGAGGCCCCGGGUUCGAAUCCCGGUUGGGACA
rnacentral:tRNA from 1 species